UUUUUUUUAAAAAAAGAUUUUACUUAUUUAUCUGAGAGAGAGAGCACAGAGGGAGGGGGAGAGGGAGAGAAGCAGGGAGCUGGGUGCGGAACUCGAACCCAGGGCCCUGUGACCACGACCCGAGCCGAAGGCAGCGCCUGAGGCGCCCCAGGAUGCUCUGUUCUUUACCAGCCGUUGACCCCGGCACAUUUUGUGACAGAGGCUGCGGCAUUUCUUCUCUGCUCACUUUGUGCCUAACUCUCAAUUUCCUAAAUUAUGUUGUCGACUGACCCACGGCAAGAAGGCGAGUGAGAGCUGACCACAUCCCUGUCCUCCUCGGUCCUGGGAGACUUCAGAGAAGUCACGGGAGGGACAGAAAAUAUGUGGGAAAAGAGCAAGAAAGAAAUUCUUGGGAAGCGGCGGCUGCAGACCGUCGGCAUGUGCUCUGCGUCUUCACAUAAAGUACGUGCGCCGGGGACUGGCUGGCUUGAUCCCAGGUUGUUGUUGGCUGGUGGCACCUUGUAAAGACUCCGAACGAGGGUGUCCUGUGCCUGAGGUCUCCGGGGCCGCCCCCCGCAGUCGUGUUUGCAAGAGCCUGAACAGCACCGGUCACUGGACACCCAUCCAGCAACGAAGGCUCCGGGCUGACGGGCACAGAUGGGGACACCGAGGGGGCUCUCCUGGGCGUCAGAGCUGGGGGUGGGAGGAGAGCAGCAGCGUGGCCUGCCCGCACACACGAGCACCCGAGAGGGCGGCAACCGGGGGAGCCGGCCGCAGCCCCCCGCGACUUAACAGCCUCGUGCUCCUAGCGCAGGUACAAUGUCACUUAACCAAGGUAAAACAGUGGCUCCUGCGGGCUUCGUCGGGGAAGCGUCUGCCUCUGGUUCAGGUCGUGAUCCCAGGUCCUGGGACCCAGACCCACGUCGGGCCCUGCUGGGGGGGCGGGUGCGGCUGCUUCUCCCUCCCCCUCUGCCCCCCGCUCUCUCUUUCUCAAACAAAUAAAUAAAAUAUUUUUUAAAAAAGGAAUGAGAGCAAAAGAGAGGAAGCCCCAGCAAGACGAGUAAUGUAACACGGAGUCCCCGAGCGAGGGAAGUCCUCAGCCUGGUUAGCAAUCGUGGGAUUUACCUGCGAGUCCUCAGCCUGGUUAGUGAUCGUAGGGGUUUACCUGCGAGUCCUCAGCCUGGUUAGGGAUUGGGGGGGUUAACCUGCAAGCGACAGUGAGACAGCCCCGCAUCCGCGCUGGGUUAGUGAAAGCCGCCGACAGAGCGAGUGUCGGGGACGAUAUGGAGCAGAUAACGGUCGUCCACGGUUUCCAGGAGUACAUGCGGAAAUUACCUGGAAAUUACCUGGGAAACACUCUGGAUGACCUCGCAGAGUUGAAAUUAGGAUGAACCGGGGACUCCGCAUCGUAUCAGGGCUCCUCUAGGGAAGGGGAAGCCCCUCGAAUCGCAAGUAAGGCGCCGGGUUCUCUGAACCCCACGUGCAAUUUCCUGGCCCGACCGGUGCUUCCGUGUGGGGUUACCUUUAGCUUCACAACAGCCGUUCACAUGAUGCUUCCUCUUCUUUUCUGCCUACGUGCUGCAUUGAUGAUUAAAAUGCUUGUAAAACGUGAAAACGUUGCUCUCCGCGUGCCCCUCGGUGUGGCUCCCCGGACACAACCCCUUGUCUUCUCUUCCAGGACGCCUGCCCGCCUUAGGUAUUUCUAGUACUUGUUUAAAUUACUGUUUCCCCCCCAGUUUGAGUUACUUUUGUUCUCACUAACGUAAGUUGGCCGGUUUGGUGCUUUCCUUUCGAGGCAGCCCCCACUCAGCUGUCUGUCGGGUUCCCCGAGUCAGGCUGACUGUGCUGCCAAGUCCCUGGGGCUGCACCACGGAUUCUCUGUCUCAACCAGGGGCGAGUCCAUACCCCGGGGAACAUGUGGCCAAGUCCAGAGACAGUUUCACCAGCACGACUUGGGGAACGACUGGCAUCUGCUGAGUAGAGACCUGGCUUGCUGCUGCACAUCGUAAAACACCCAGGAUAGCCUCAACCAGCAAGGGAUUAUCUGACCCCAAAUGUCAAGAUUGCCGAGGUUGAGAGACACGGCCCUCGCUCCACACCCACCAUGGAGCCCAAUGUGGGGCUUGAACUCACCACCCCGAGAUCAAGGCCUGAGGGGAGGUCAAGAAUUUGAGGCCGAAUCAGCUGAGCCGCCGAAGCACCCCUAUUUCAUUUUUUGGAAUAAGUUUCUGAGGUGCAAUGGACUUUGUUUGGAACUGUUGCUGAGAAUACGGAACAAUAACUUAGCCAAAUGCUUUAGUUAAGUCAUAAACACUUGGGCCUCUUGAAAGCUGAUGAUACUUAAUUUUAUGUCAGGAUAGUUGGGGUACAGUGUCCAGCUGUUCAGUCAAACACAAGGGACAUAGAUGCUGCUGUCCAGGUGUUGUGCAGGUGUGGUUACUAUCAUCAGUUAACUUUAAGUAAAGGAGAUGACUCUUGAUAAUGUGGGUGGGCCUCAUCCACUCCGUUGAAGGCUUCAGGAGCAAAAAUGGAUUUUUCAGGGAAGGAUUUCUGCCUCGAGACUGUGACCUAGAAAUCCUGUCUGAGUCUCUAGCCAGCCAGCCCACCCUACAGAUUUAGGGCAUGACAUGUCCACAAUCACAUGAGCCAGUUUUCCAGAAACAAAUCUCCCUCCAUAAAUGCAGACAUAUCCCAUUGGUUCUGCUUCUUUGGAGAACCCCUACUGAUAUAGAGGUUAUUUGUACCACAUCUUUUUUUUUUUUUUUUUUUAAGUAAAAGGGCUUUUAGGUCAGUUGUUCGGAUGAGAUUCUCAGGGUCAGUUUACCGGGGCUGAGAAGAAGCAGGUGUAGCUGGUGCUUGACUAGACCUGCUCCAUUGCCCAGAGGCACCACACAAUAGCUUCUUCCGGUGAAGUCGAAGCUAAGUUGACCCAGAGUAAACGGACACCUUGGUGAGAAGUAGUGAGGUAAUUAAAUGCUUUUUCCCAGAAUCACAUGUAUCUUUCCGCCAAAGCUAAGUGUACAGCUCUUGAAGCAUAGCCAGGAGCCCUGGGAGCCCGCACAUCUUUAGCCGUAUCCACCAAUCCCGACAUUUAGUCCCUCAUCCGUGCAGCGUUUACUGAGGAGGACAAGGAUCCUCUCUGGCCUGUUCACUCUGCGCGGAGCCACCCGGGCGCCCGACACGGCGCCGGAGCAUUUGUGGAAUGAAUAUGCGUCUUAAAUUGCCCAUUUCUGUGUCCGUUAAAUUAAAGAGUGAACUAGAA